rnacentral:rRNA from 1 species
UACGUAGGGUGCAAGCGUUAAUCGGAAUUACUGGGCGUAAAGCGUGCGCAGGCGGUUUUGUAAGUCUGUCGUGAAAUCCCCGGGCUCAACCUGGGAAUGGCGAUGGAGACUGCACAGCUAGAGUAUGGCAGAGGGGGGUGGAAUUCCACGUGUAGCAGUGAAAUGCGUAGAGAUGUGGAGGAACACCGAUGGCGAAGGCAGCCCCCUGGGCCAAUACUGACGCUCAUGCACGACAGCGUGGGGAUCAAACCAG